GGAGGUCAAUGAUGAUUUGCAUUUUUGCCUACAUUGGCUGAGUAACUCAACUAUGAUAAAAAAGAAUCUGCGAUCCAGCUGAGGCCUCC